rnacentral:misc_RNA from 1 species
AACGCACCUUGCGCCCCAUGGUACUCCGUGGGGCAUGCCUGUUUGAGUGUCGCGCCCCCCUCUCAAGCCCUCUGCUCUUGACUGAGCAAGCGUGGCCUUGGAUCGUGGCCUCGGCCGGCGACAGCGCCCUCUGAGGCGCGCGUCGCCGGCGCGGCCGAAAGCCUUUGCAACUCUGCGUUCGACGCGACGGCUGCGGCUUAACCGGACGGUGGAGACGACGAUUGUACGCACUACCUUCGUCGGCUCGGCCGCUGGGACGCACCGUCCUUGCCGACGCAGGAAAUUCAACACUUUCGACCUCAAAUCAGGUAGGACGACCCGCUGAACUUAA